UACGUAGGGUGCGAGCGUUAAUCGGAAUUACUGGGCGUAAAGCGUGCGCAGGCGGUUUUGUAAGCCAGAUGUGAAAUCCCCGGGCCCAACCUGGGAACUGCAUUUGUGACUGCAUCGCUGGAGUGCGGCAGAGGGGGAUGGAAUUCCGCGUGUAGCAGUGAAAUGCGUAGAUAUGCGGAGGAACACCGAUGGCGAAGGCAAUCCCCUGGGCCUGCACUGACGCUCAUGCACGAAAGCGUGGGGAGCAAACAGG
rnacentral:rRNA from 1 species